AUUGAACGCUGGCGGCAGGCCUAACACAUGCAAGUCGAGCGGAUGAAGGGAGCUUGCUCCUGGAUUCAGCGGCGGACGGGUGAGUAAUGCCUAGGAAUCUGCCUGGUAGUGGGGGAUAACGUCCGGAAACGGGCGCUAAUACCGCAUACGUCCUGAGGGAGAAAGUGGGGGAUCUUCGGACCUCACGCUAUCAGAUGAGCCUAGGUCGGAUUAGCUAGUUGGUGGGGUAAAGGCCUACCAAGGCGACGAUCCGUAACUGGUCUGAGAGGAUGAUCAGUCACACUGGAACUGAGACACGGUCCAGACUCCUACGGGAGGCAGCAGUGGGGAAUAUUGGACAGUGGGCGAAAGCCUGAUCCAGCCAUGCCGCGUGUGUGAAGAAGGUCUUCGGAUUGUAAAGCACUUUAAGUUGGGAGAAGGGCAGUAAGUUAAUACCUUGCUGUUUUGACGUUACCAACAGAAUAAGCACCGGCUAACUUCGUG
rnacentral:rRNA from 1 species